rnacentral:rRNA from 1 species
GACGAACGCUGGCGGCGUGCUUAACACAUGCAAGUCGAACGAAAAGGCCCUGCUUUUGUGGGGUGCUCGAGUGGCGAACGGGUGAGUAACACGUGAGUAACCUGCCCUUGACUUUGGGAUAACUUCAGGAAACUGGGGCUAAUACCGGAUAGGAGCUCCUGCUGCAUGGUGGGGGUUGGAAAGUUUCGGCGGUUGGGGAUGGACUCGCGGCUUAUCAGCUUGUUGGUGGGGUAGUGGCUUACCAAGGCUUUGACGGGUAGCCGGCCUGAGAGGGUGACCGGCCACAUUGGGACUGAGAUACGGCCCAGACUCCUACGGGCGGCAGCAGUGGGGAAUAUUGCACAAUGGGCGGAAGCCUGAUGCAGCAACGCCGCGUGCGGGAUGACGGCCUUCGGGUUGUAAACCGCUUUCGCCUGUGACGAAGCGUGAGUGACGGUAAUGGGUAAAGAAGCACCGGCUAACUACGUG